UACGAAGGGGGCUAGCGUUGUUCGGAAUUACUGGGCGUAAAGGGCGCGUAGGCGGUCCUGAUCGUCGGAUGUGAAAGGCCUGGGCUCAACCUGGGAAUGGCAUCCGAUACGGCGGGACUGGAGUGUGGGAGAGGUUGGUGGAAUUCCCAGUGUAGAGGUGAAAUUCGUAGAUAUUAGGAAGAACACCAGUGGCGAAGGCGGCUCACUGGCCCGGUACUGACGCUGAGG
rnacentral:rRNA from 1 species